rnacentral:rRNA from 1 species
GAUGAACGCUGGCGUCGUGCCUAAUACAUGCAAGUCGAGCGAACAGACGAGGAGCUUGCUCCUCUGACGUUAGCGGCGGACGGGUGAGUAACACGUGGAUAACCUACCUAUAAGACUGGGAUAACUUCGGGAAACCGGAGCUAAUACCGGAUAAUAUAUUGAACCGCAUGGUUCAAUAGUGAAAGACGGUUUUGCUGCCACUUAUAGAUGGAUCCGCGCCGCAUUAGCUAGUUGGUAAGGUAACGGCUUACCAAGGCAACGAUGCGUAGCCGACCUGAGAGGGUGAUCGGCCACACUGGAACUGAGACACGGUCCAGACUCCUACGGGAGGCAGCAGUAGGGAAUCUUCCGCAAUGGGCGAAAGCCUGACGGAGCAACGCCGCGUGAGUGAUGAAGGUCUUCGGAUCGUAAAACUCUGUUAUUAGGGAAGAACAAAUGUGUAAGUAACUAUGCACGUCUUGACGGUACCUAAUCAGAAAGCCACGGCUAACUACGUG